CCUACGUGUGGCAGCAGUAGGGAAUAUUGCUCAAUGGGGGAAACCCUGAAGCAGCAACGCCGCGUGGAGGAUGAAGGUUUUCGGAUUGUAAACUCCUUUUGUUAGAGAAGAUAAUGACGGUAUCUAACGAAUAAGCACCGGCUAACUCCGUGCCAGCAGCCGCGGUAAUACGGAGGGUGCAAGCGUUGUCCGGAAUCAUUGGGCGUAAAGAGUUCGUAGGCGGUAUGUUAAGUCUGGUGUUAAAUGCAGAAGCUCAACUUCUGUUCGGCACUGGAUACUGGCAAACUAGAAUGCGUUAGAGGUAAAGGGAAUUCCUGGUGUAGCGGUGAAAUGCUUAGAUAUCAGGAGGAACAUCGGUGGCGUAAGCGCUUGACUGGGCCGUAAUUGACGCUGAGGAACGAAAGCCAGGGUAGCAAAUGGGAGUAGAUACCCGAGUAGUC
rnacentral:rRNA from 1 species